AGCUACGGAAGUUCCUCCUCCCCGUUCUCCCCAUCUCUUCCUCUCAUCCGGCUGCCGAAGCACUCCUUCUUCACUCCUACGUCGACGUCGUCUUCGGUCCCCUAAACACCCACGUCGGGUCUCGCUCCUUCCGACCUACCUUCUCUUUAGCUCCGUAUUCCUCACCCCACCACCCCGGGCUGCAUACAAUUUCUCUUUCCUCCUCGCCUCCGACAGUCUCCUGGCGCCGGGCUUGAUCCAGCCAGAGCAGGCCACGGUGUACGCAAUCAAUUUUGGGCUCGAGACCCGGGUGUCCGUUUCCAUUGUAAUGAUCCUUAUGUAUAGGAGCUUUGGGUCAGUCCACGAAGCGUUAUGGUGCCUGACGCGAGAGCUGUUCUCAGAGAACUUGUUGCAUCGGUUGGCAUGGGCAUAUGAUAAUAUCGACCACGCUAGCGAGUUGUUCGACAAAAUGCUGCAGAAGGAUGCUGUAUCACGGAGUGGCAGAUGAUGUGCUGGUAAGAACUGACUAUUUAUGGAUGCAAUUAACAAAUUUUAUAGUUGAAACAAUUUUUAUUUUGUUCAAUAAAGUUGUCUUGUCAUCAUGUAUAUGCUUGGGCGGCCUUCAACUUAAUUGGGCAGUUACCUGGGUUAUUUCAUGCAGUAGAUCUUGCUAGAGAAAGUUCAACUUCUACAUUGUGUUUUCUUUUUUUUUUUCAGUACUUUGUGAUGAUUAGGUUGGUCUCUAAGCGAGGUUAACCUGUGAAGUGACUCAUCCUCGGACUAGCAUUAUUUUAUUUGUAAACAAUGCUGACAAACAUCUUAGCAGCUACAAUUUGACUGGGACUGUCACCAGUCAGAGGAGCUAAAUUAUACUCUUUCCCAUUUCCAGAGUUCCAUAUCCAAACUAGUUAUCGGGCAACAAAUCAUCAUAUUUUGUUGACUUAGUUUUUGAAAUUAGAGAAUUCUACAAGCUCAUCAAACCUGAUUCAAUAUCCUUAGUAUAAAUUUACUAAACCUGAUUUAAUAUCUUUGUUAUCCUAUAUAUGCUGUGCGACUGAAGUUUUUGAGGCAAUGCCUUCGAUCGUCAUAUCUUCCUUUGCCCAGCCAUCAAUUUUCCUGAUCAUCAUCGUGCAUGCAAACUUUAGAAGAAACAUGAAUAGUUUUGAUUUAAUGUUUAAUAUGCCCACCCGGAUGUUCACUUUGAAAGAAUGAAGGCAGAAAUUGUCGAUCUAGAUAAAUUGUUUGACUUUGCUUGAUGCUUGUAGCUAUUGGAAGAUUGGUGGACCAAGGAAAAUCUUGUUUUAAUCCAAUAAGGAAUGUUUACAUGGUAAAUGUUGUCAAGCAUGGUGUGAUGUUAAAAGAAGCAGAGGAGAUGAUUUUCAGCAAUGGUAAUGUCUCCAGAAUUUUCCAUAUGUAG
rnacentral:lncRNA from 1 species